UAAUAACUGCGGCACAGCAUUCAUGCGUUGAACCUGGUCAGGACCGGAAGGUAGCAGCCAUAAGAGCCUCUGAUUGCGUGUGCCGCUUUUUAUUAUUA
rnacentral:SRP_RNA from 1 species